rnacentral:rRNA from 1 species
ACGCGAGGAACCUUACCAGGUCUUGACAUCCUCUGACACUCCUAGAGAUAGGACGUUCCCCUUCGGGGGACAGAGUGACAGGUGGUGCAUGGUUGUCGUCAGCUCGUGUCGUGAGAUGUUGGGUUAAGUCCCGCAACGAGCGCAACCCUUGAUCUUAGUUGCCAGCAUUAAGUUGGGCACUCUAAGGUGACUGCCGGUGACAAACCGGAGGAAGGUGGGGAUGACGUCAAAUCAUCAUGCCCCUUAUGACCUGGGCUACACACGUGCUACAAUGGAUGGUACAAAGGGCAGCAAAGCGGUGACGCCUAGCAAAUCCCAUAAAACCAUUCUCAGUUCGGAUUGUAGGCUGCAACUCGCCUACAUGAAGCUGGAAUCGCUAGUAAUCGCGGAUCAGCAUGCCGCGGUGGAUACGUUCCCGGGCCUUGCACUCACCGCCCGU